CGCGUAGGCGGCCCGGCAGGCCGGGGGUCGAAGCGGGGGGCUCAACCCCCCGAAGCCCCCGGAACCUCCGCGGCUUGGGUCCGGUAGGGGAGGGUGGAACACCCGGUGUAGCGGUGGAAUGCGCAGAUAUCGGGUGGAACACCGGCGGCGAAGGCGGCCCUCUGGGCCGAGACCGACGCUGAGGCGCGAAAGCUGGGGAGCGAACA
rnacentral:rRNA from 1 species